AUACGGAGGGGGCGAGCGUUGUCCGGAAUGAUUGGGCGUAAAGGGCGCGUAGGCGGCCCGGUAAGUCUGGAGUGAAAGUCCUGUUUUUAAGAUGGGAAUUGCUUUGGAUACUGUCGGGCUUGAGUGCAGGAGAGGUAAGUGGAAUUCCCAGUGUAGCGGUGAAAUGCGUAGAGAUUGGGAGGAACACCAGUGGCGAAGGCGACUUACUGGACUGUAACUGACGCUAAGGCGCGAAAGUGUGGGGAGCAAACAGGAUUAGAUACCCUGGUAGUCCACACUGUAAACGAUGAAUACUAGGUGUAGGGGGUAUCGACUCCCUCUGUGCCGCAGUUAACACAAUAAGUAUUCCGCCUGGGGAGUACGGCCGCAAGGUUGAAACUCAAAGGAAUUGGCGGGG
rnacentral:rRNA from 1 species